UACGUAGGGGGCAAGCGUUGUCCGGAUUCAUUGGGCGUAAAGAGCGUGUAGGCGGCCAGGUAGGUCGGUUGUGAAAACUGGAGGCUCAACCUUCAGAGGUCGACCGAAACCAUCUGGCUAGAGUCCGGGAGAGGAGAGUGGAAUUCCUGGUGUAGCGGUGAAAUGCGCAGAUAUCAGGAAGAACACCCGUGGCGAAAGCGGCGUUCUGGACUGCAACUGACACUGAGGAACGAAAGCCAGGGGAGCAAACGGG
rnacentral:rRNA from 1 species